rnacentral:tRNA from 1 species
GGGUGAGUGGCGGAACUUGGUAGACGCACCGGACUUAGGAUCCGGCGGGUUCGCCCGUGAGGGUUCGAAUCCCUCCUCACCCA